CCUUAUACAGGGGAAUAACCGUUCGAAAGGGAGACUAACACCCCAUGGUAUUGAUUUAAGGCAUCUUAGAUUAAUUAAAUAUUUAUAGGUAUAAGAUGGGCAUGCGUAUGAUUAGCUAGUUGGUAAGGUAACGGCUUACCAAGGCGACGAUCAUUAGGGGUUCUGAGAGGAAGGCCCCCCACACUGGUACCUGAGACACGGACCAGACUCCUACGGGAGGCAGCAGUGAGGAAUAUUGGUCAAUGGGCGCAAGCCUGAACCAGCCAUGCCGCGUGCAGGGAAAAGACGGCCUUAUGGGUUGUAAACUGCUUUUACAUAAGACGUAACCGUAUAUUUGCGAAUAUACCUGAAUGUAUUAUGAGAAUAAGGAUCGGCUAACUCCGUGCCAGCAGCCGC
rnacentral:rRNA from 1 species